ACCACCGGAAGCAGCAGCACGAGCGCCGUGGCUCCCACAAAGAAACGAUACAUUCCACCACACCUCCGAAAAAAGAUGGAGGCGGAA
rnacentral:ribozyme from 18 species